CAUUUCCACAGCCAUCCUUGUGGCUUGUAGUUUCCAGAUUCAUUUAUUUUUUAAUCUUUAUUAUUUUCCUAUAAAUAAUGACAUAGAGCCAGAUCUAUGGAACUGACAGAAAAUAGAAGGUUUGCUUCACAUACUGAUGAGGUACUUUGCAUCCAAAGAAACUUCAUAUCAAAAACCAAUAGAUAGACUAAUUAUUACUACAAGAAAGAUGCUGAUAACGAUGCCAUGCUGUACCAGUGUAA